AGAUCUGCAUCUCAUCAGUAACAGAGCGUUCUUCGGUGGAACGCAAAUACUCAUCCUCGAUUUUACUUCUUCUUCAACAUUGUUUCCUCCAAACACGUCCUCUUCCUUCAGAUUGAAAUUCAAAUCUAUUUCUUCAAAUCCGUGGUGCCUUAUGUAGCUCCGCCGUCUCACUUCCAGGUCACUGUACUCUUCUUCUUCUUCCUCGCCGUCAUUUUCAUGUUUAUCUUCACCAUUCCGAACAACCAAAUCAAUCUCCCUACCUUUCACAUCUCUCUCUUGCACAGCCACCAGCCACCGAGCAAACACGGCACCACAGGACCCGCCGCCAUUAUUACCGGAUUCGCCAGCAUCCACCGCCGUAGCAGCCGACUUCG
rnacentral:lncRNA from 1 species